GAAAUGAAAGAGUCCCGCUCUUUUGUGCUGUUGGAGAUGGGACCCAGGGGCCCAUCGUAGGCAAGUGUUUUAGUCCUGAGCCACACCCUAGCAGUGGAAGUGUCCUACUCUUUAAUGGAAAAUGUCCUGGAGUUACUUUUCUCAUUGCUGAGACAAAAUACUGACACCCAAAGGUAAAGGAAGAAAAGUUUAUUUAGCUUACAGUUGAAGGGAUUUCAGUUCAUAAUCAGCUGGCUCCAAGGCAGUGUGGCAUGGCAGAGGAGCAUUGCAGAGGAGAAAUAGUUCAUGGCAGGCAGAAGUGAUCAUCUGAAUUGUCCAGAUGAAUGAGACCCAGAUAGGGAGAUGCGAGCUGUAGGCACCAUGUCUACUGAGGAAUGAUGGAGCGUAAGCCUUGGGAACCUCUCACCAUCUACAUGUACUUGAAGAGUUGUCGUAAGUAAGAAGGAAUGGCCUUCUGUCUGUGCUGGGUGUUGUCCCACCUAAGGAAGAUCUUUCUUGGACUUAGAUCUGCCUAACAGCAUGAAGUGUUAUUGCGAUCAUCCAGGAUUGUAAAUUCUAACCUGUGGGGGACUCUGCCUUUAGAAAUAUUUAAGUUUAGGCUGGAUGUUGUCCUCUGACAGUGUUAUGGAUGGUGUUCCUGCAAGAGUUUGGUCUAAUAAUCUCUCUUAUCUCUCUUAUCUCUGCCAGCUUUUAGGGUUUUUGAUCUCUAGUGACUUCUCUUCCUAGUGCUGAUAUUGACAAUAAUGAGAAAGUAGUGAAAAUCUUGUUGACUUUAGUUCCUUAAUAACUAGGAAAGGAAGUAAAUGAAUGUUUACUAGGAAAGGAAGUGAAUGCUGUUUGCCAACCAGCAAGCGUUGGAGUUUCUAAAAAAAUGUAAAAAAGGGAGUUUUAAAAAAAUGUAUGAAGUAGAGAAAUGCAAAUCAAAACUACAUUGCGAUUCCAUCUCACCCCAGUCAGAAUGCUGUCACCAAUACAAAAAACAUUAUAUGCUGGCAAGUAUGUGGAAAAAAAGGAAACCACUUGCCCUGCUGGUGGGAAUGUAAAUUAGUACAGCCACUAUGGUAUGGAGAUCCCUCCAGAGUGCUGGGAUUAAAGACAUGUACCACCGUGCACAUGCACGUACAAUGGAGUAUUAUUCAGCUAUAAAGAAUAUGAAAUUAUGUCCUUUGCAGGAAAAUGAAUGGAAUUGGAGAUCACUAUGGUAAAUGAAAUAAGCCACACUCAGAUAAGUAUUACAUGUUUCCCUUAAUAUGUGAAUUUUUAAAAAGUCAGGAAAGUAGGGCCGGGGAUUUAGCUCAGUGGUUUCGCUGCCUGCUGCACAAGCGCAAGGACCUGAGUUCGAUGCCCUGUACCAAAAAAAAAAAAGUCAUGAAAGUAGAAGGGAGGCUUUAUUCUUCAGUACUGGGCAUUAAACUCAGGGCCUUCAUGCUGGGCUACCUCCCUAGCGUUUUAUUUUUGUUUUGAGACAGGGUCUCACUAAGUCGUCCAAGCUGGGCUUGAACUGAUGAUCUGUCUGCCUCUGCCUUCCAGAGUGCUAGGAUUACAGGCAUGUCCUACCAUGCCAGGCUAGGAAGACUUAUUAAAUGAGAGCAAAGUAACAA
ensembl:lncRNA